UUGAUCCUGGCUCAGGACGAACGCUUGCGGCGUGCUUAACACAUGCAAGUCGAACGGAAAGGCCCUUCGGGGUACUCGAGUGGCGAACGGGUGAGUAACACGUGGGUGAUCUGCCCUGCACUUUGGGAUAAGCCUGGGAAACUGGGUCUAAUACCGAAUAUGACCACGCUCUUCAGGGGGUGUGGUGGAAAGCUUUUGCGGUGUGGGAUGGGCCCGCGGCCUAUCAGCUUGUUGGUGGGGUAAUGGCCUACCAAGGCGACGACGGGUAGCCGGCCUGAGAGGGUGACCGGCCACACUGGGACUGAGAUACGGCCCAGACUCCUACGGGAGGCAGCAGUGGGGAAUAUUGCACAAUGGGCGCAAGCCUGAUGCAGCGACGCCGCGUGAGGGAUGACGGCCUUCGGGUUGUAAACCUCUUUCACCAGGGACGAAGCGCAAGUGACGGUACCUGGAGAGGAAGCACCGGCCAACUACGUGCCAGCAGCCGCGGUAAUACGUAGGGUGCGAGCGUUGUCCGGAAUUACUGGGCGUAAAGAGCUCGUAGGUGGUUUGUCGCGUUGUUCGUGAAAACUCACAGCUUAACUGUGGGCGUGCGGGCGAUACGGGCAGACUAGAGUACUGCAGGGGAGACUGGAAUUCCUGGUGUAGCGGUGGAAUGCGCAGAUAUCAGGAGGAGCACCGGUGGCGAAGGCGGGUCUCUGGGCAGUAACUGACGCUGAGGAGCGAAAGCGUGGGGAGCGAACAGGAUUAGAUACCCUGGUAGUCCACGCCGUAAACGGUGGGUACUAGGUGUGGGUUCCUUCCUUGGGAUCCGUGCCGUAGCUAACGCAUUAAGUACCCCGCCUGGGGAGUACGGCCGCAAGGCUAAAACUCAAAGGAAUUGACGGGGGCCCGCACAAGCGGCGGAGCAUGUGGAUUAAUUCGAUGCAACGCGAAGAACCUUACCUGGGUUUGACAUGCACAGGACGCUGGUAGAGAUAUCAGUUCCCUUGUAGCCUGUGUGCAGGUGGUGCAUGGCUGUCGUCAGCUCGUGUCGUGAGAUGUUGGGUUAAGUCCCGCAACGAGCGCAACCCCUAUCUUAUGUUGCCAGCGCGUUAUGGCGGGGACUCGUAAGAGACUGCCGGGGUCAACUCGGAGGAAGGUGGGGAUGACGUCAAGUCAUCAUGCCCCUUAUGUCCAGGGCUUCACACAUGCUACAAUGGCCGGUACAAAGGGCUGCGAAUCCGCGAGGUGGAGCGAAUCCCUUGAAAGCCGGUCUCAGUUCGGAUCGGGGUCUGCAACUCGACCCCGUGAAGUUGGAGUCGCUAGUAAUCGCAGAUCAGCAACGCUGCGGUGAAUACGUUCCC
rnacentral:rRNA from 1 species